rnacentral:rRNA from 1 species
GAGUUUGAUCCUGGCUCAGAACGAACGCUGGCGGCGUGCUUAACACAUGCAAGUCAGGGAGAAAGUCUCUUCGGGGAUGAUUAAACCGGCGCACGGGUGAGUAACACGUGAGUGACCUGCCUUUUAGACUGGAACAACUUACCGAAAGGUGAGCUAAUGCCGGAUGAGUUAUAUAAGUGCAUGUUUAUAUAGGAAAAGUUGGGGAGACCUGACGCUGAAAGAUGGACUCGCGUCCCAUUAGCUAGUUGGUAGGGUAAUGGCCUACCAAGGCGACGAUGGGUAGCCGGCCUGAGAGGGUGGCCGGCCACACUGGGACUGAGACACGGCCCAGACUCCUACGGGAGGCAGCAGUGGGGAAUUUUGCGCAAUGCUCGUAAGAGUGACGCAGCGACGCCGCGUGAAUGACGAAGGCCUUCGGGUCGUAAAGUUCUUUCGACAGGGAAGAAAAUGCCUAUAAGUAACUGUGUAUGUAUUGACGGUACCUGUAUAAGCAGCCCCGGCUAACUCCGUGCCAGCAGCCGCGGUAAUACGGAGGGGGCGAGCGUUGUUCGGAGUGACUGGGCGUAAAGAGCACGUAGGCGGUGUUGUAAGCCAUUAGUCAAAGACUAGAGCUCAACUUUAGUAAGGCUAGUGAUACUAUAAUACUAGAGUAUCAGAGAGGAUUGCAGAAUUCCUGGUGUAGCGGUGAAAUGCGUAGAUAUCAGGAGGAAUACCGUUAGCGAAGGCGGCAAUCUGGCUGGAAACUGA